CCUGGUGGCCAUGGCGAGGGUGUCACACACGAUCCCAUUCCGAACUCGACCGUUAAGCCCCUCUGCGCCGAUGAUACUGCGUCUUAAGACGUGGGAAAGUAGGUCACCGCCAGGA
rfam:Magnetofaba australis IT-1 contig00020, whole genome shotgun sequence.